rnacentral:rRNA from 1 species
AGAUCCGAAUGUGGUGAUAGGUAUAGCAUUUAUACAGUGAAACUGCGAAUGGCUCAUUAAAUCAGUUAUCGUUUAUUUGAUAGUUCCUUUACUACAUGGUAUAACUGUGGUAAUUCUAGAGCUAAUACAUGCUUAAAAUCUCGACCCUUUGGAAGAGAUGUAUUUAUUAGAUAAAAAAUCAAUGUCUUCGGACUCUUUGAUGAUUCAUAAUAACUUUUCGAAUCGCAGGCCUUGUGCUGGCGAUGGUUCAUUCAAAUUUCUGCCCUAUCAACUUUCGAUGGUGGAUAGUGGCCUACCAUGGUUUCAACGGGUAACGGGGAAUAAGGGUUCGAUUCCGGAGAGGGAGCCUGAGAAACGGCUACCACAUCCAAGGAAGGCAGCAGGCGCGCAAAUUACCCAAUCCUAAUUCAGGGAGGUAGUGACAAUAAAUAACGAUACAGGGCCCAUUCGGGUCUUGUAAUUGGAAUGAGUACAAUGUAAAUACCUUAACGAGGAACAAUUGGAGGGCAAGUCUGGUGCCAGCAGCCGCGGUAAUUCCAGCUCCAAUAGCGUAUAUAAAGUUGUUGCAGUUAAAAAGCUCGUAGUUGAACUUUGGGCCCGGUUGGCCGGUCCGAUUUUUCGUGUACUGGAUUUCCAACGGGGCCUUUCCUUCUGGCUAACCUUGAGUCCUUGUGGCUCUGGCGAACCAGGACUUUUACUUUGAAAAAAUUAGAGUGUUCAAAGCAGGCGUAUUGCUCGAAUAUAUAGCAUGGAAUAAUAGAAUAGGACGUUUGGUUCUAUUUUGUUGGUUUCUAGGACCAUCGUAAUGAUUAAUAGGGGACGGUCGGGGGCAUCAGUAUUCAAUUGUCAGAGGUGAAAUUCUUGGAUUUAUUGAAGACUAACUACUGCGAAAGCAUUUGCCAAGGACGUUUUCAUUAAUCAAGAACGAAAGGUAAGGAGGAUCGAAGAUGAUCAGAUACCGUCGUAGUCUUAACCAUAAACUAUGCCGACUAGGGAUCGG